UACAGAGGUCUCAAGCGUUGUUCGGAUUCAUUGGGCGUAAAGGGUGCGUAGGUGGCGCGGUAAGUCGGGUGUGAAAUUUCGGAGCUUAACUCCGAAACUGCAUUCGAUACUGCCGUGCUUGAGGACUGGAGAGGAGACUGGAAUUUACGGUGUAGCAGUGAAAUGCGUAGAGAUCGUAAGGAAGACCAGUGGCGAAGGCGGGUCUCUGGACAGUUCCUGACACUGAGGCACGAAGGCGAGGGGAGCAAACGGG
rnacentral:rRNA from 1 species